rnacentral:rRNA from 1 species
UACGAAGGGGGCUAGCGUUGUUCGGAUUUACUGGGCGUAAAGCGCACGUAGGCGGAUCGUUAAGUCGGGGGUGAAAUCCUGGAGCUCAACUCCAGAACUGCCUUCGAUACUGGCGAUCUUGAGUCCGGAAGAGGUGAGUGGAACUCCUAGUGUAGAGGUGAAAUUCGUAGAUAUUGGGAAGAACACCAGUGGCGAAGGCGGCUCACUGGUCCGGUACUGACGCUGAGGUGCGAAAGCGUGGGGAGCAAACAGG